UACGGAGGGGGCUAGCGUUGUUCGGAAUUACUGGGCGUAAAGCGCACGUAGGUGGUUUGCUAAGUCAGCUGUGAAAUCCCCGGGCUCAACCUGGGCACUGCAGUUGAAACUGGCAAGCUAGAGUAGGGUAGAGGGGUGUGGAAUUCCAGGUGUAGCGGUGAAAUGCGUAGAUAUCUGGAGGAACAUCAGUGGCGAAGGCGACACCCUGGACUCAUACUGACACUGAGGUGCGAAAGCGUGGGGAGCAAACAGG
rnacentral:rRNA from 1 species